rnacentral:rRNA from 1 species
UACGGGAGGCAGCAGUGGGGAAUAUUGCACAAUGGGCGCAAGCCUGAUGCAGCGACGCCGCGUGGGGGAUGAAGGCCUUCGGGUUGUAAACUCCUUUCGCUAGGGACGAAGCAUUUUUGUGACGGUACCUGGAGAAGAAGCACCGGCUAACUACGUGCCAGCAGCCGCGGUAAUACGUAGGGUGCGAGCGUUGUCCGGAAUUACUGGGCGUAAAGAGCUCGUAGGCGGUUUGUCGCGUCGUUCGUGAAAACCCGAUGCUUAACAUCGGGCGUGCGGGCGAUACGGGCAGACUUGAGUACUACAGGGGAGACUGGAAUUCCUGGUGUAGCGGUGAAAUGCGCAGAUAUCAGGAGGAACACCGAUGGCGAAGGCAGGUCUCUGGGCAGUAACUGACGCUGAGGAGCGAAAGCAUGGGUAGCGAAC